rnacentral:lncRNA from 1 species
GAGCGGCUGUCGGACGCCGGCGGAGCCGCGGACCAGGAAGAAGAUGAGCCUGAAGUCCGAACGCCGGGGAAUUCAUGUGGAUCAGUCGGAGCUCCUGUGCAAGAAAGGAUGUGGUUAUUAUGGAAACCCUGCCUGGCAGGGUUUCUGCUCCAAAUGCUGGAGGGAGGAGUACCACAAGGCCCGGCAGAGGCAGAUCCAAGAGGACUGGGAACUAGCAGAACGACUUCAGCGGGAGGAGGAAGAGGCCUUCGCUAGCAGCCAGAGCAGCCAAGGAGCCCAGUCCCUCACCUUCUCCAAGUUUGAGGAGAAGAAAACCAAUGAGAAAACUCGCAAAGUCACCACAGUGAAGAAGUUCUUCAGCGCCUCUUCCAGGGCUGGAUCCAAGAAGGAAAUUCAGGAAGCCAAAGCUCCCAGUCCCUCCAUAAACCGGCAGACCAGCAUUGAGACGGACCGAGUGACUAAGGAGUUCAUAGACUUUCUCAAGACCUUCCACAAGACAGGCCAAGAAGUCUAUAAACAGACGAAGAUGUUUUUGGAAGCAAUGCCUUAUAAAAGGGAUUUAAGCAUCGAGGAACAGUCAGAAUGUACUCAGGACUUUUACCAGAAUGUGGCGGAAAGGUUGCAGACCCGCGGGAAAGUGCCUCCAGAGAAAGUGGAGAAGAUGAUGGAUCAGAUCGAAAAGCACAUCAUGACCCGUCUCUAUAAAUUUGUGUUCUGCCCAGAGACGACUGAUGACGAGAAAAAAGAUCUCGCCAUUCA